rnacentral:rRNA from 1 species
UACGUAGGGUGCAAGCGUUGUCCGGAAUUAUUGGGCGUAAAGAGCUCGUAGGCGGUCUGUCGCGUCGAAUGUGAAAACCCGGGGCUCAACCCCGGGCCUGCAUUCGAUACGGGCAGACUAGAGUGCGGUAGGGGAGAUUGGAAUUCCUGGUGUAGCGGUGGAAUGCGCAGAUAUCAGGAGGAACACCAAUGGCGAAGGCAGAUCUCUGGGCAAUUCCUGACGCUGAGGCGCGAAAGCGUGGGGAGCAAACGGG